rnacentral:lncRNA from 1 species
GAACUUUCCUUGUCCUCAAGCAAAACAAAACAAAACACACAAAACAUAACUUGGCUUUAUACUUUUUCAUCCAAUGCCUCAACAAUCCCAAGGUACAUGACAAAACUACUCAAUUCAAAUCUUCAGUAAAAUCAAACUAAAGUGUAUGCAUGUUUUCAAUCUAGAGAUUGCACUACAGAUGUUAUAUAUUAUGAAUGAUCAAUCCACUAAGCAAAAAGGCACUCAUGAAAAUUAACAGUUCAUACCAAGCAAGUGUUUCACUCAAUCACUCAAGUGUUUAAGGUGACACUCCAACUCUCUAUUGUUCACAAGUCACAUGAAACAAAAUUGCCAUUCAUCUCAAACAAUCAACAUCUUUACAUGCAAAUGCCAUCAAAAGGACUUUUUCAAGGCUUGUAAUGAGGUUGGGUCAACAAGAAAAAUUUGUUUUUCUAGAAUGCAAAAUCCUUGAGUCAAGAGAGCUAACAAAAUAUUCAACAUUUAAGCACAACUCUUUCACCAAUGACUCUCAUUCCCCACUUCUUCCCUUUUCUUUUCUUUUUCAUUGAGCUCAUCUUCAUGUUUUUCUUCUUUUCUUUUCUUUUUCUCAUGAAUUUUUCUCUUUUCACAACAAUUGAGCUCAAUGCCUUUCACUUGCUUUUUUCCAAUUUUCCCCCGUACAACCCCAAAUUUGAACCUUUUCAACACAUACAAUUAAGCUCAUCCCAACUCAAGGUAAAGAUUUACAAGACAAGGGUUCACAUACUGUUUAAGGCUAAGGUUCAAAAAAGGUAAAAUAUUUUCAAGAACUUUGGGUGAAAAUUUGGCU